GGCCUCUAGCUCAGUAGUAGAGCAUCUGCUUUGCAUGCAGAAGAUCCCAAGUUCAAUCCCUGGCCUCUCUAGGUAGGGCCA